AACGCACCUUGCGCUCCUUGGUAUUCCGAGGAGCAUGCCUGUUUGAGUGUCAUUAAAUUCUCAACCUCACCAGUUUUGUAACGAGACCGGUGAAGGCUUGGAUGUGGGGGUUUUGCAGGCUGCCUUAGUGCUGGUCUGCUCCUCUGAAAUGCAUUAGCGAGCUCAUACUGAGCUUCCGUCUAUUGGUGUGAUAAUUAUCUACGCCGUGGAUUUGGACUCAUGCUUGCUUCUAACCGUCCGCAAGGACAAUUUACUUGACCAAUUUGACCUCAAAUCAGGUAGGACUACCCGCUGAACUUAA
rnacentral:misc_RNA from 1 species